UGGUGGAGUGAUUUGUCUGGUUAAUUCCGAUAACGAACGAGACCUUAACCUGCUAAAUAGUUUUGCAAAUCUUCGGAUUUGUAUUAACUUCUUAGAGGGACUAACCAAGUUUAUUGGUUGGAAGUUUGAGGCAAUAACA
rnacentral:rRNA from 1 species